AAUUGUAUAAGGAGGUUAAUGUCCUGCGACGAGAUAAUGCAGAAUUACAUAAAAAGGCUUAUGGAGCAAAUGACAUAAACAGAAGUUCCUUCAAACCAUAUGGUUGCAGCAAUGGAUAUGACUUACAUGUACCUAUACAACUGCAGCUAAGCCAACCGCAACAAACACACAAUGAAACACCAGAAACGCAAGGAAUCUAGGAUGAUUACAACUGCCUUAACAAAGCAGACAGACAACUGUGGAGAAUAUAGUCAAUUUUCAUCAACUACUUGCCCCGGAGUGACAAAAAUCAUUGUUUGCAAACAAGAUUGUGUGUAAGAUAGUGGAAAAUAGACAUUCAGUAUAAACAUCAUCAAUUUCGUAAUGAUAUGGUACUUGGAUUAAACUUAAGAUUGUUGUGGUAAGAUCAAUCACCUUGUGGUAUGAUCAAUCACCCACCAACUUAAUGUAACAAUUAGAAAUAAUGAGAAGUUAUUUCAGGGUCCAGGUAAAAUUUUAGAUGUUUUAUUAUCAAGAUUUUUAAAAUAGACAUUUUGACCCCCACCAAUUCAACGCUGAAUUUUCCAUACUUAAUUUUUAGUUUUAUCAAGCAGCCUCUAAAAUGAUUAGAAAGUUAGGGAUGAUU